AGUCCAAAUAUAAAAUGUCCAAAUGUGCAAAUAGUGGUCCUAGUAGUCCAUCAGGAGGGUAUGUAACGUCCUAAAUGAGAUAUGCGAGAAGAGCAGAAGAGAGAGAAAAACUCCAAUGGUGUAGUAUAAAAACAAAAUAUGGAUAUUUUGUAAAUAUUUGUGGAACUACUCACAAUAUUCAGAGCUUAAAUCCAGCUCUGGUAUGG